GUUUAUGCAUUAAUGCAUACAUGUACUUGUUUAGGCAUUAAUGCAUAACUGUAUUUUUUAUGCUUCAAUGCAUGUAUUUGCUUUAAUGCAUACAUAUAUUUGUUUAUGCAUUGAUGCAUAACUGUAUUUGAGAAGGCUUUAAUACAUAAAUGUAGUGGUUUAGGCAUUAAUACAUUAGUGUAUUUUUAAAUGCUUUAGUGCAUACAUUUAGUUGUUUAAGCAUAAAUUUUAUUUGAUUAUGCCUUAUUGCAUAUAAGUAAACCAUGAGUAUGAAUAACAAUUGUUUUUGUUUUUGUUCAAUCAGGCGUGCAGACAGGGCACCCAGUUCCUACUCCAGAGUGUGCAGCUGCCAUUUCAAAGAUGGACUUGAAAGGGGUCCAACUAUGUUCCUAAGGCAUAGUCACAAUGAAUCUUUUCAGGUGGUAGGUGCCACCUUCCUGGUGAAGACCAUCAGGGGUGGCACCAAGGAUCCCAGAGUCAGCCAACCAUAAACCAGACCCUCUGACCUCCAGGCCGGUGCCCUCCUCGAACGCAGCAAUACCCUCUUUUUCAUUCGCUAUGCCCCACUGCACAGCCAAAACUCCAGAAAGGUCCUGGUUCCCACAGAGCCUGUUGAUGAGGGCAGGGAUGUCACGUUUUGCGGACAGCACGCACCCAAAAUUGCUGGCCGUUAGGCGACCUUUCCGCAGGGCAUGCCAGAGGUGAUUAUCCCUUUGGCACACUGUUGCUGUCUGGAUGGCCAUUAUCUGGUCCAAGGACAGCCUUAAGGCAACAAGAACAGCAUCACUGCCCAGGUGUUUUUUGGCAGUUACAAUGCUGUGACUGCAGAGAUGAAGAAGGGAUCCCUCCUGAGUUUUUGGCUCAGGAGUGAGCAGCCAGAGACGUGAAAAACGGACAUUGCGUUGUUUUCAUAUGGAUUACUUUAUCACAGAAUAUCUGAGCAGGUCAGAGUUCCGUUUCUCUCAAGACGGUAGGCGGAGAUUAUUAUGCAAAGUGUUCCUAGUGACGUACAUAGAGAUGGGCAAAAGAUUUGAAAUCUAUAACGACUCGUUUCAGCGAUUCAGAGUCGACUCCUUACUUUAGAAGCCAAUAACUUUAUAAAUCGUGUACUUUUUGGUUUAAUUACUUUGCACAUUGUUGACAGCUACAUCAUACACUGUAAUACAGGUAAUUUUUGAUUUCCCGUGUGGCUCUUUAAAAACUACAGUAUACUUUCAUGCACAUUAUUUAUCUGUUCUAUAUUUAACUUACAGUAUACAUCUUUUUUAUAAUUUGUUCUUAUAUUUUCAUUGUUUACUUUUUUCAUUCAUCAUAGCUAUAUUUAUGUAUAUUUUUAUCUGUGUUGUAUUAUAAUAAUAAUAAUUGCACUGUCCAUGGAGCAGACCUGACUCACAUUUUUCACUGCUGGUUAUAUAUGCUCUAUAUAAUCGUAUAUGUGAUGAAUCCAAAUCUUGAAGCUUGUUACUGAGCUGACUUUCAAAAUAAUGAUUAACACCAUACAACUUAUUAGUCUGCUUUGUUUUAGUAAUUUAUUAUGUUUACAAGACUGUAGGUUCAACAAAUCAGUUAAUAUACUACUGUAAUUGAAGUAGUUAAAUAAAAAUGUCAUUCAUAUCAAUUCAUGCUUCACCCAAUUUCAUCAUAACAUAGGCCUGGCCUACAGGAAAUAAAUUUAAGGUUUAUGUUUAAUCUGUUUAAUGUUGUAUUGGUCAUAUCAUACAGUGAUUUACUGUUUGACUUGGUUGAAUAAUACCGAAGAUUAAAAAGCUUAAAAAUAAUUGCAUAUCAAAUUGCAAUUGCAACAUUGGUUAAAAAAAAAAAAAAUUAAAUUAUUUUCCAAAAGUGUUACAGGCUACUGUUUAAAGUGGAAUACCAAUGGGGGCAGCUGUGGCCUAAUGGUUAGAGAGUUGGACCUGUAACCGGAAAGUUGCCGGUUUGAGUUGGUGCUGGCAGGAGUCGUAGGUGGGGGUGAGUGAAUGAACAGUGCUCGCCGAUGGCUGAAGUGCCCUUGAGCAAGGCACUGAACCCCCAGAUGCUCCCCUGACGCUGGAUAUAUAGCUGCCCACUGCUCCGGGUGAAAGUGACAUGACAUACAGAUCAAGUGUAAGAUUACAUAUAAAGAAAAACUCAACAAGGAAGCAAAGAGUUUUUAGAAAAAAAUCAAGACAAUCAACAAACUCAAUCUGCAAGAAAACAAAGAGUGGUCGGAUGAUAUCUAGUAGUAUCUCUAGCUGCCUCUAGUAACCUUCCCUGAUGUGUUUUCUUACCUUGUUUGUAGUGUCAGAGCGUACACCUCUGAUCAGUUUAAAAAUUAUAAAUCUCUCGAGUCUCACCUGCUGUUUACAAAUGGAUGUGUGCAGGACCUUCAAAUUUUCCGCGUCAACGAGCGGAAAACAGUUGUCUGUACAAAGGUCUUGAAUUAAUCAAUUUUAAUAAUUGUCUUUCUAUUUACCUUUUUCACUUAUUGCAUUAUCUUUGUUCUUGAUACUUGAAGGAUACAUGGUUGUUACACGUUACUCCUGAUGCAUUAGCACUACAAGUGCACUGAACGUAUAAAUUAAAAAAUUUUCUUCUUUUUCUCACUACCCUACCUGUGGUUUUGAUACUUGUUUACCUAAUUACCUUUUAUGUGUUACACUGUCCCUUUACUUUUUAAUAUGCGUUAUUGUAAACUGUACAAAUUAACCUCAGUGUGUUAUGAUGCACAAAUAAAAUAUACAGAAUUGA